rnacentral:rRNA from 1 species
UGGAUUAUGUUGUUUAAUUCGUACGCAACGCGAAGAACCUUACCAGGCCUUGACAUACUCAGCAAACCCUAGAGAUAGGGUGGAGGUUAUCUGGGAUACAGGUGGUGCAUGGUUGUCGUCAGCUCGUGUCGUGAGAUGUUGGGUUAAGUCCCGCAACGAGCGCAACCCUUGUCUUUAGUUACCAUCAUUCAGUUGGGGACUCUAGAGAGACUGCCGGUGAUAACCGGAGGAAGGUGGGGAUGACGUCAAAUCAUCAUGCCCCUUAUGGCCUGGGCUACAAACGUAAUACAAUGGCGUAUACAAAGGGAUGCGAAAGGGCGACCUGGAGCAAAACUCACAAAGUACGUCUCAGUUUAGAUUGGAGUCUGCAACUCGACUCCAUGAAGGCGGAAUCGCUAGUAAUCGCGGAUCAGCAUGCCGCGGUGAAUACGUUCUCGGGCCUU